UACGAAGGGUGCAAGCGUUACUCGGAAUUACUGGGCGUAAAGCGUGCGUAGGCGGUUUGUUAAGUCUGUUGUGAAAGCCCCGGGCUCAACCUGGGAAUGGCAAUGGAAACUGGCGAGCUAGAGUACGGUAGAGGAGAGUGGAAUUCCCGGUGUAGCAGUGAAAUGCGUAGAGAUCGGGAGGAACAUCAGUUGCGAAGGCGGCUCUCUGGACCAGUACUGACGCUGAGGCACGAAAACGUGGGGAGCAAACAGG
rnacentral:rRNA from 1 species